rnacentral:tRNA from 1 species
GCUGGCGUAGCUCAGCUGGUAGAGCAACGGUUUCGUAAACCGUAGGUCGGGAGUUCAAUCCUCCCCGCCAGCUCCA